rnacentral:rRNA from 1 species
GGGGCGUAAAGAGCUCGUAGGUGGUUCGUUACGUCGGAUGUGAAAAUCUGGGGCUCAACCCCAGACCUGCAUUCGAUACGGGCGAUCUAGAGUGUGGUAGGGGAGACUGGAAUUCCUGGUGUAGCGGUGGAAUGCGCAGAUAUCAGGAGGAACACCAAUGGCGAAGGCAGGUCUCUGGGCCAUUACUGACACUGAGGAGCGAAAGCGUGGGGAGCGAACAGGAUUAGAUACCCUGGUAGUCCACGCCGUAAACGGUGGGCACUAGUUGUGGGAACCUUCCACGGUUUCUGCGACGCAGCUAACGCAUUAAGUGCCCCGCCUGGGGAGUACGAUCGCAAGAUUAAAACUCAAAGGAAUUGACGGGGCCCCGCACAAGCAGCGGAGCAUGCGGCUUAAUUCGACGCAACGCGAAGAACCUUACCAAGGCUUGACAUAUACCGGAAUAUGGCAGAGAUGUCAUAGCUGUAAAAGGUCGGUAUACAGGUGGUGCAUGGUUGUCGUCAGCUCGUGUCGUGAGAUGUUGGGUUAAGUCCCGCAACGAGCGCAACCCUCGUUCUGUGUUGCCAGCAUUUAGUUGGGGACUCACAGGAGACUGCCGGGGUCAACUCGGAGGAAGGUAAU